rnacentral:sRNA from 1 species
GUUUAGCCCUGAUGGUCGAAUUACUCUCGUAAUUACCUUUUUCUUGCUUCUUUAGUAAGGAAAAGAUAUAGCGAACAGCAGGAAAUGGC